CUGGUUCUUCAUGUGCUGAGUCAUUUUGAACUGGGAUAUCAUGUUUGCAGACUCUGAGUCUUCUUAAAAACCCUUUGGAAAGUGUUUAUUUCCUCAUUCUGCCAAGAAAUGGACCUGAUUUGGUUCAGGCCAUAAGUUGCAUCCCAUCUUCUAUAGUCUACAGUUUCAACAUCAGUGAACUUUUCAAAACCUUUGCAAAAGUAUUCAAAUAAGUCACACAUGUGCAUCACCAGGGAAGUCUGGCUUCUGGCCAGAAAUCUUUCUAGUAAUUCUGUUUUCAAAGUCUUUAUUAUGCUGAUCAAGAUCAGAUCUAGUCAUGCACAGUUUGGGAGUAAAUCUUUGAGUUAUUUAACAAGUUAAUGUGAUCUCUUUCCUCAGGUUCCCCCUCAUCACAAUCUCCCCAAUACAUCUCAUUUCCCUGAAGUGCCUCUUCUAGCUUCUGUGGCCAGAAGCAUGGGGACUUCAUCACUCUUCUCUGCUGCUCUACUUUGACUGGACCAAGAAGUGAGAGAACCAGAAGACAAAAAAACCAUGGAUCUAAUGAGGUUUGGGGACCUGCACUCUCUGCUCACUAGCUGGGUCCAUCCUGCUGCUGACCAAACAGUCCUGUGGCAAAAAUAUCAGAGGGACUUCAAACGUGCAUGUCAGCUGUUUCUCACUGUUGAUGCAGGAAAUGAAGGAUGCAUCUCACACAGACAGCCCACAGCAAGCUCUUGAUUUCUUAGAGGACAAUAGCUGCGAGAGGAAGAAGCCCCUCCUGCCAAGAGUUAACUCCCGUGUGUGACUGGCCUCAGGCACCGUAGUGACUUGGUGAACUUCCUGGGGUCUACUGGAAGAGAAGCAGGUGCACCCUCAGGCUGUGCCACUCGGGGAUGAGCAGUUUGGCUUCAUGAGAGGCCCUUCAGGGGGCCUGGCACACUAUGGGGUAGUGAGAGUGACACAUUCCACACUGCCAGCUUUUAGCCUAAUAUUGAGAUGCUAGAGUCAAACACCAUCGUGAGAGAAGUCAGUGAUUGAGAGGACUGAAGAGAGAAGAAUGUUCACUGAGCUUCAUGGAAGAGUGGAUGUAUGCAUUCCAGGUUCCCAGCAUAUCUUCCUAAGUGGGUUAAUUCUGUGAACUACUGUCAGCUCCCCUCCCUCACAGGCCAGCGUGAACCAAAGGGGCAGGUGGUAAAUCCUGGAUUUACAGUUUAUGGCAUGUUGUUGAGCAGCACCCAAUGUCUC